CUUAAAUAUAAAGAUGACAAAAAUUAUAAUUGAAGCUGUUUAUUCACUUAAAUUAGCCUAAAAAGCUAAAAUGCCAAAUACUGCAGAGAAGAGUAAAGUAGGAGCGGCGCCGGUGGUGGGACGUUCGCCGGAAAAAAUACGAAGGGAAACGAGAAGAGGGGAGAGAAAGAAAAACGGGCUAGGAGAGAGGAUAGGGAGGGAGGAGGGGGUGGCGCUUACCUAUCCUGCUCGUUGCAGGUGCCGGCACUGGAGGGAUUUGCCGGAAGAGGUGACCGUUAAAGGUUAAAGGUUGGAAGAGAAAAGGUAGCGUAAGUCGUGAUAAAGAGAGAGAAUCAAACAAUAUGAAAUGACACAAUUGUCUUUGUGA
rnacentral:lncRNA from 1 species